rnacentral:rRNA from 1 species
UACGAAGGGGGGCUAGCGUUGUUCGGAAUCACUGGGCGUAAAGGGCGCGUAGGCGGCCGAUCAAGUCGGGGGUGAAAGCCUGUGGCUCAAUCACAGAAUUGCCUUCGAUACUGUUUGGCUUGAGACCGGAAGAGGUAAGUGGAACUGCGAGUGUAGAGGCGAAAUUCGUAGAUAUUCGCAAGAACACCAGUGGCGAAGGCGGCUUACUGGUCCGGUUCUGACGCUGAGGCGCGAAAAGCGUGGGGAGCAAACAGG